rnacentral:rRNA from 1 species
UACAGAGGUCUCAAGCGUUGUUCAGAUUCAUUGGGCGUAAAGGGUGCGUAGGCGGCGCGGUAAGUCGGGUGUGAAAUCUCGGGGCUUAACUCCGAAACUGCAUUCGAUACUGCCGUGCUUGAGGACUGGAGAGGAGACUGGAAUUUACGGUGUAGCGGUGAAAUGCGUAGAUAUCGGGAGGAACACCAAUGGCGAAGGCAGCUCGCUGGGACGGUACUGACGCUGAGACGCGAAAGCGUGGGGAGCAAACAGG